ensembl:rRNA 5S_rRNA 5S ribosomal RNA
AGCCACAGUCAUAUUACCCUGCAGCCUAAGACCAGUUACUCACUGAAGCCAAGCAGGGCUGAGCGUAGACAGUACCUGGUUGGGACACCACAUGGGAAAACUAGAUUGCUGUUGGAA